rnacentral:rRNA from 1 species
GAUGAACGCUGGCGGCGUGCUUAACACAUGCAAGUCGAACGGAGAAGCCGAGCUUGCUCUGGGUAUCAGUGGCGUACGGGUGAGUAAAACGUGAGAAUCCCCCCCCCUUGACUUGGUUAUAACUUGAAAAAGGCGGCUAUAAUAGCGUAUAGGUUCGCCCGCUGCAGGGUGGGGUUGGGAAAGUUUUUGCGGUUGGGGUUGGACUCCCGGCUUACCAGCUGGUUGGUGGGGUAUUGGCUUACCAAGGCUUGGACGGGUGGCCGGCCUGAGAGGGUGACCGGCCACAUUGGGACUGAGACACGGCCCAGACUCCUACGGGAGGCAGCAGUGGGGAAUAUUGCACAAUGGGCGGAAGCCUGAUGCAGCAACGCCGCGUGAGGGAUGACGGCCUUCGGGUUGUAAACCGCUUUUAGCAGUGAAGAAGCGAGAGUGACGGUACCUGCAGAAGAAGCACCGGCUAACUACGUG